rnacentral:rRNA from 1 species
UACGUAGGGACCGAGCGUUGUCCGGAUUCAUUGGGCGUAAAGAGCUCGUAGGCGGCCACUCAAGUCGAAUGUGAAACCUCGAGGCUUAACCUCGAGCCUGCAUUCGAUACUGGGCGGCUAGAGUCUGGUAGGGGGAUCUGGAAUUCCUGGUGUAGCGGUGGAAUGCGCAGAUAUCGAGAGGAACACCGGUGGCGAAGGCGGCCUUCUGGACAGUGACUGACGCUGAGACGCGAAAGCGUGGGGAGCAAACAGG